UUUUAUACGCCCGUAUAAAAUACGGGACGUAUUAUGUGAAACCCCUUGGCGGCGGGCGGCGGGCGGCGGGCGGAAGGCAUCACUUUGUCCGGACUCUAAUUCAAAUUGUAUUCAUCCGAUCUUCACCAAACUUGGUCAGCAGUUGCAUCUAGUUGAUAUCUAGGCCAAGUUCGAAUAUGGGUCAUGCCGGGUCAAAAACUAGGUCAUAGGGUCAAUAAGUGCAUUUUCAAAGGGGCCACUUUGUCCGGACUCUAUUUCAAAUUGUAUUCAUCCGAUCUUCACCAAACUUGGUCAGCAGUUGCAUCUAGUUGAUAUAUAGGCCAAGUUCGAAUAUGGGUCAUGCCGGGUCAAAAACUAGGUCAUAGGGUCAAUUAGUGCAUUUUCAACGGCGCCACUUUGUCCGGACUCUAAUUCAAAUUGUAUUCAUCCGAUCUUCACCAAACUUGGUCAGAAGUUGUAUCUAGACAAUAUCUAGGUCAAGUUCGAAUAUGGGUCAUGCCGGGUCAAAAACUAGGUCACAGGGUCACUUAAACCAUUUCAAGCAUUUAGCAUGGUGUCCGCUCUCUAAUUGAAGUAGUUAUCAUCCGAUCUUCACCAAAUUUGGUCAGAAGUUGUGUCUAGACAAUAUCUACAUGUAGGUCAAG